rnacentral:rRNA from 1 species
GGCAACGGCCAUACCACGUUGAAAACACCGGUUCUCGUCUGAUCACCGAAGUUAAGCAACGUUGGGUUUGGUUAGUACUUGGGAUGGGUGACCGCCUGGGAAUACCAAAUGCUGUUGUCU